ACUGCUAAUACCGCAUAAGCCCACGGCUCGGCAUCGAGACAGAGGGAAAAGGAGCAAUCCGCUUUGAGAUGGUCUCGCGUCCGAUUAGCUAGUUGGUGAGGUAAUGGCCCACCAAGGCGACGAUCGGUAGCCGGACUGAGAGGUUGAACGGCCACAUUGGGACUGAGACACGGCCCAGACUCCUACGGGAGGCAGCAUG
rnacentral:rRNA from 1 species